GCCAAUCUGUUUAUAGCCUCAAUCUCCAAGGGCAUGGUUUGGCUAUUCUAGCUCAUAUUUCAAAAUGAAGCAAAUCAUUAAGUUUUCUACAACAUUCUUCUUUCUUUCUUUCUUUCUUUCUUUCUUUUGAUAAUUGAAAAAUCUUCAAGGGACAUUAUGCACAGUUCGAAACUCAGUGGUUAAUGGGCCCGCCACUUUAUCCUUCUCCAAUUAAAUACCAAGAUUUUCUUUAUGGUAGGGUUCAAACUCGUGACGUGAACCUACUCCACACAUGAAAAAUUAUUCUCUUACCACUAAAUCAAAGCUCAGAAUUUCCUAGUCGCUUGUGUUCAUGGAACUAUCAUUACAUGUGAUGAUCAUAAAGGGUUGAUCAAUUAAUAGCACCCUGUCAUUUUUAAAGCAACUAAAUACCUCUUAGCAUUAAAGGCGACAAAAUCUAGUAGUGGUACUUUCAUUACAGAAAAAAUAUACUGGAGAUUGCUAAAAGAAUUCUGGUAUGUUGGAACUGGACUUGUUCACCCUCCUAUAUAAUGAAUCUUUUUAAAUGUCCUAGGACUAUAUAGGAGACUUUUUCACAGAAUCAACAUUCUAAAAAUCACACAACCUUAUAUCAUUCAUUGUUAGCAUGGUAAUCCAGAUUUUGCCAGCUUUUUGUAAUAGCUGUUGGGAUGUUUCAAUGCGCAUUCUUAGGUAUAUCAAUUGCCAUGAUAAGAGUUUUUUAAAAGAUAGAUGAAAUGUAUCAAUUUUUUGGGUAUUUCACUGCAGGCUAGCAGAAACUGCCUUGGAUAGACAAUCCAUCUUAUGAGUCUCUUUAGAAAAGUAAAAAACAAAGAUGUGAUGACCAAACCAAGUGUGAACCUAGAGUAUCGAGCCGUGGCCUUAACACGUGAGCAAAUAUGAAAAAUUAUUUAUUCAAAAGCUAAAAUCUAAUGAUAAACUAAUAUAAUUAAGCCACUAUAAAAUCCACGUUUCAUCAAUGAAAGAGAAAUAGAUUGCUAAAAAAAUCUAUUUGGGUUAAAAUACUCAUUUUUGGAAGUUGUAUCCCCUCCCCAAAUAAUAUUUGAGUUUAUUCCACAGGUCCUUGGUUUUAAUGUGACCUAGCUGAUACUAGAGACAUUCAUGUACUGCCUAUUUACUAGUAUCUGAGGAUGUAAUAUGCUAUUGUGGUAGCCCCUACGAUGGAUAGUUUCUUGGAAUAGAACCUUUCCAUUGACUGGUAUAGGGUUUUAUUAUGACUGGGAUGUAGCAUGAUAUAUUGACUAAGUUUUUGAAGAUGAAACUUCCAACUUUUCUUAGUUUUGAGUAGUGGAUUCUUUCAAGUUUAUUAUAGACUGUUAGGAAAGCUUACACGAUAUGGUUAUUAUUAAGUAGCAUAGUGUAGAAUUGGUAACUUUCCAACUGCAGUAAGGUGGUAAGCACGGGUGGAGGG
rnacentral:lncRNA from 1 species